rnacentral:rRNA from 1 species
UCAAUCUCGUGCGGCUAUAUAUACCGCCGGUCCCUCUAAGAAGAUCACAAUGUACGCCGAUAGUUGAAGACCGACCGGAGCCGGACCCUCGUGAUAUCGGAAAUACGUCUAUUUAAUAGGCUAGAGUUACGUUCGUUAC